rnacentral:rRNA from 1 species
GACGAACGCUGGCGGCGUGCCUAAUACAUGCAAGUCGAACGCUUCUUUCCUCCCGAGUGCUUGCACUCAAUUGGAAAGAGGAGUGGCGGACGGGUGAGUAACACGUGGGUAACCUACCCAUCAGAGGGGGAUAACACUUGGAAACAGGUGCUAAUACCGCAUAACAGUUUAUGCCGCAUGGCAUAAGAGUGAAAGGCGCUUUCGGGGGUCGCUGAUGGAUGGACCCGCGGUGCAUUAGCUAGUUGGUGAGGUAACGGCUCACCAAGGCCACGAUGCAUAGCCGACCUGAGAGGGUGAUCGGCCACACUGGAACUGAGACACGGCCCAGACUCCUACGGGAGGCAGCAGUAGGGAAUCUUCGGCAAUGGACGAAAGUCUGACCGAGCAACGCCGCGUGAGUGAAGAAGGUUUUCGGAUCGUAAAACUCUGUUGUUAGAGAAGAACAAGGACGUUAGUAACUGAACGUCCCCUGACGGUAUCUAACCAGAAAGCCACGGCUAACUACGUG